rnacentral:rRNA from 1 species
GACGAACGCUGGCGGCGUGCUUAACACAUGCAAGUCGAACGGAAAGGCCCUGCUUGCAGGGUACUCGAGUGGCGAACGGGUGAGUAACACGUGGGUGAUCUGCCCUGCACUUCGGGAUAAGCCUGGGAAACUGGGUCUAUUACCGGACAGGAGCCUUAUUUCGUGUGAUGGUUGGAAAGUUUUUUUGGUGUAGGAUGAGCUCGCGGCCUAUCAGCUUGUUGGUGGGGUAAUGGCCUACCAAGGCGGCGACGGGUAGCCGGCCUGAGAGGGUGGACGGCCACAGUGAGACUGAGAUACGGCCCAGACUCCGACGGGAGGCAGAAGCAGGAGAUAGUGAUCAAGGGGCGCAAGCCUGAUGCAGAGACGCCGCGGGGGGGAGGACGGCCUUCGGGUUGUAGACGCCUUUCGCUAGGGACGAAGCUUUUUGUGACGGUACCUAGAGAAGAAGCACCGGCUAACUACGUG